GUGUCAGCCGCCGCGGUAAUACGAAGGGGGCUAGCGUUGCUCGGAAUCACUGGGCGUAAAGCGCACGUAGGCGGAUUCCUAAGUCGGGGGUGAAAUCCUGGAGCUUAACUCCAGAACUGCCUUCGAUACUGGGAAUCUUGAGUCCGGAAGAGGUGAGUGGAACUGCGAGUGUAGAGGUGAAAUUCGUAGAUAUUCGCAAGAACACCAGUGGCGAAGGCGGCUCACUGGUCCGGUACUGACGCUGAGGUGCGAAAGCGUGGGGAGCAAACAGGAUUAGAAACCCGCGUAGUCC
rnacentral:rRNA from 1 species